GAUGAAGAACGCAGCGAAAUGCGAUAAGUAAUGCGAAUUGCAGAAUUUCCGUGAGUCAUCGAAUCUUUGAACGCACAUUGCGCCCGCCAGUAUUCUGGCGGGCAUGCCUGUUCGAGCGUCAUUUCCACCAUCAGGCCCCCGGGCCUGUGUUGGGGACCUGCGGCUGCCCGCAGGCCCCGAAAUUCAGUGGCGGUCGCGCCGUAGCAACCGAGCGUAGUAACUAAAACGUCUCGCUCUGGCUCGCUGGGCGCGCUCCGGCCGUAAAACACCCCCCCUUUUCGCAAAGGUUGACCUCGGAUCAGGUAGGAAUACCCGCUGAACUUAAGCAUAUCAAUAAGCGGAGGA
rnacentral:misc_RNA from 1 species